UUGCCUUUCUUACAGAUUUUCUGUUCAUUUCAGUGAUGACUGGCUUUAAGGAGACUUCCCAGUAAAGGCUGAAGCUAGUUUCCUGGUACUGUAGCUCAUACAUGAAAUAUUUACUUGUUACCAGUUCUGCUGCUUCAGAAAUUCAAGAAUACUUCAAAUCAAAGUCAUGUUACACAGCUUAUUAUUCUGGUUUAUGAGAAAUAGCAAAACAGGUGGAUUAUAAAGUCUAGAUGUCAAAUCAAGGUGAAAGAAUAAAUGACAGGUGUAAGAAUAAUCUGGACCUGGGAGAUAAUACAAAAUCUUCAGUUUAAGGAAGAUGGUCAAGAUACAAGUGAAGCUAUGAACACAUGUGGCUGAUCACAGAAAGGCAUCAAAUGAAUCUAACCAGUACAGCAGAAACCAGGAAGAUACUCCUAGUAAACCUUGCAAAUUUCUUAAAGUAGAGAAUAAGCUUUAGCCCCAGAGUCUUAGAAUGUGACUGUAUUUGGAGAGAGGGUCCUUAAAGAAGUCCUUAUAUUAAAAUGAGACCCUAAAGCAAUCUGGCUGGUAUCCUUCUAAGAAGAGGAAGAAGAGAAGGCCAUGUGAGCAGCCAGCAAGAAAGCAGGAACCUUCAGAUUUCUUGUG